rnacentral:rRNA from 1 species
UCCGGAAUUACUGGGCGUAAAGAGCUCGUAGGUGGUUUGUCGCGUCGUUUGUGGAAUACCGCAGCUUAACUGCGGGGUUGCAGGCGAUACGGGCAUAACUUGAGUGCUGUAGGGGAGACUGGAAUUCCUGGUGCAGCGGUGGAAUGCGCAGAUAUCAGGAGGAACACCGAUGGCGAAGGCAGGUCUCUGGGCAGUAACUGACGCUGAGGAGCGAAAGCAUGGGGAGCGAACAGGAUUAGAUACCCUGGUAGUCCAUGCCGUAAACGGUGGGCGCUAGGUGUGAGUCCCUUCCACGGGGUUCGUGCCGUAGCUAACGCAUUAAGCGCCCCGCCUGGGGAGUACGGCCGCAAGGCUAAAACUCAAAGGAAUUGACGGGGGCCCGCACAAGCGGCGGAGCAUGUGGAUUAAUUCGAUGCAACGCGAAGAACCUUACCUGGGCUUGACAUACACUGGAUCGGGCUAGAGAUAGUCUUUCCCUUUGUGGCUGGUGUACAGGUGGUGCAUGGUUGUCGUCAGCUCGUGUCGUGAGAUGUUGGGUUAAGUCCCGCAACGAGCGCAAACCUUGUCUUAUGUUGCCAGCAUUUGGUUGGGGACUCAUGAGAGACUGCCGGGGUGAACUCGGAGGAAGGUGGGGAUGACGUCAAAUCAUCAUGCCCCUUAUGUCCAGGGCUUCACACAUGCUACAAUGGUCGGUACAACGCGUGUGCGAUCCUGUGAGGGUGUGCUAAUCGCUGAAAGCCGGUCGUAGUUCGGAUUGGGGUCUGCAACUCGACCCCAGUGAAGUCGGAGUCGCUAGUAAUCGCAGAUCAGCAACGCUGCG